rnacentral:sRNA from 1 species
UAUUGUUUGUUUCUAUAUAACAAAACAAAAAUGUAAUUUGAUAAAACACAAAAAAAAUGCAGUAAAUAAAA